AGAAAAGUCCCCUAGCAGCUGUGGGGAAAAAAGCCCACCGUGCUGCAGAUUCAGCUUCCUCCAGACAGCCCUCCGCCUGUCAGGGGAGCACGAGAUGUAUUCCAGACCCUUGUUUUCAAUUCAAAGAGCUCUGCCCACUGUUCUCAGGGUAGCGUUCUGGAAGCCCAACUUAGUGAUUCAUUCCAGUGAAAUCCACAGGAUGCCCAGCCACGAUGAAUAGACUCCAAAGUGUUUCCAUCUCAUUCCUGAGGAAGCGUUUCUCUCGGAAGAGCAUCUCAGCCUCCGGCCAGUGCUCACCGCCCAGAGCCUCUUCAGGGAUACCUGAAAUAGCAGGAAAAUAGUGAGCAUUAUCCGCAGCACAGUUCCAACUUUAAAAGGGGAGAAGUUCUGACCUAUGCUACAACAUGGAUGAACCUGGAGGACAUUAUGCUGAGUGAAAUAAGCCAGCUACAAAGAGGACAAAUACUGCCUGAUUUCACUGACAUGAAGGACCUAGAGCAGUCAAGACCAUAGAGACAGAAGCCAUUUGACUCUGUGGCUCCUAACACCUACGAGAGACCUGAGAGGCCCUUGGAAAGGAGUAACUGAGAGCAGCACGGUCCCUAACCAAGAACAGACACAUGUGCAGGCCGGAUUCUGUGUUUCCAAGAUGAGAAAACUGAGGCAUGCGGAGUUUCUAUCGCUUCCCGGCGUUCACACAAUUUCACCAGGACUCAAAACCUGUGUUCCUAACCACUAGACGAUGAUGAUUGAAAAUGUCUCCAGUCUCAGGAGAACCUUCUGGAAACCAUGUUGCCUGUCUAAAAACAAAGAAGAGAAGUAAUUUGAAGCAGAAAUUCCAGCUUCCUUCUGGCUCUGCAUUUCAAGGGAAUGCUAACCCAGCUGUUUGUUUUUCUUUUUGACAGUUUGUUUUGUCUGUGAAAUAUAAACACUGAAAUUUUUCAGUAUAUGCACUGCCUCUGACAUAUUCCCUAGAGCCAUAGCAUCCAAACUUUUUUGAUCACAUACCCAUUAGCAAAUAUUUUUGAGUAUUACUCCUAAUAUAUGUGGAUUUAUUUAUAAGUGAUAUACCUAUACUACAAUAUUUAUAUAUUGUGUGCAUCCCAAACAGCAUCUAAUAAAAGGAAAACAGGAUGAAAUAAUAUUUUAAAAUAACAUUUCUUAAAAUAGUACAAAAUCAUUUUUUAUUUCAUUAAGAAAUAAUGUGAGCAAUGUUACUGAAUAUGCUUCAAAUGUCUGAUCCUAAAUUCAGCUUUUGUACAUGAUUUUAAUGGAAGCUAUAGUUAGAAAAAAAAUUCAAAAAGAUAUGUAAAUCCAAAUGAAAGAAGUACAUAGCUGGCUAUGUUUAUUAAACUAUGGUUCACAUUUUUUAAACUUCAUCUACCUAUUACACAAAAGAGUUUUUUGUGGAGAUGGGGAAAAUAUGGUUAGUAAAUUUCCAUUUCUGCUGCUGUUGAGCAAACUGCUAGAAGAUGUUGCAUUUUUGUAUUUUUAACAAACGACUUCAAGACUCACUCACAUUUUUUUAGCUAGAAAAAUUUAAAUAGGUUAGAAAACCAUGAUUCCUAGUUUUUAACUGCCACACAGAUGAAAGAUUUUAUAAAUGCCAACUUGAUAUCAUUUUCAACAACAAAAUCUUGAGAUGAUGGAAAUGUUUUUCAAACAUUUCUUUUUAAAAUCCGGUCUCCCUAGCACAAAUUUCUUUUGAAAAGUGGUUUCUUGCUUACUGUUAAACACUGUCUUUACCGUGAAGGAAUAGAUCAAGAAUGUUAAUUGUUUUAAAAAAUCUGCUAGGGAGUAUACCAUCCAUAAUUAUUUGGCAUCAGGAAAUUUGGUACAUUUCACCUUUUAUAAAACAAAUCUCAUACUUCAUUUUUCCCUUUCAAUAGAAUUCUGCUUCCAGCUUUGGUGGACUAGGUUGUUUCAGAACUACUAUUCCACUUACAACAACUAGGAAAAUGAAACAAAAUCAGUUUGAAAGUAUUGGAAAGCUACUAAGGUGGUGAGGAAUCUUGGACCAUGACCCAAGAGAGAGGUGAGCCCAAAGAGGUGAGGCGGGCAUUUAGAGCUGCUUUUCCCCUCGAGGGAAUUGCUAGUCUAAAAGGUAAUGGCUGAAAGGCUAAACAAGAUUUCCACAGACUCAGGACUCGGGGGACAAAAAUCAGAGGAGGAGACCUGGUAAAUAUUUUAGGGGCCAAACCUAGAAGUAAGAUGAACAAGAAAUAAAUCAUCCCUCUUAAGGUCUGAGGUCCAGCUUCAAAGCAUGUCAAUCUCUUUUCUGAAUUAAGGUGAUCUGCGCUUGUUAGCACCCCUGGCCUACAUACCUGCCUAAGCAAAAGUGAGUCCUCUUGGAGGAAGAUAACAAAAUCCAGAGCUUUAGAAUAGUUCUUCAAUGUCAAAAUCUCAAUACAAAAUAACCAGGGAUACAAGAAGACAAGGCAUAAUCGAAAAUCAAGAGAAAAAUGCGUGAUAGAUACAAAUGCACAAGGGACCCAAAUAAGAGUUAUCAGACGUAACCUUAAAACAUACAUGAUUACUAUGUUCAAGUAAUUAAAAGACAAGACUAAGAAUGUGGGCAGGGAACUGCAAACUGUAAAGAAUAAUCAAAUAAAAAUUUUAAAACUGAAAAAAAUAAACGAAAUUAAGAGUUCAAUGGAUGGAUUUAAUAGCAAAUUGCACACAACUUAAAAAAUUUGUAAGCUGGAAGGUAAGUCAGAAGAAAAUAUCUAGACUGAAACAUGAAGAAAUAAAAGAAUAGAAAAUAAAGAAAGGAGAUAUGCGUGAAAGGAGAGUGUGUGAUAAAUAUGGGAAAACAUCUGUAAUUAGAGUUGCAGAAGAAGAAAAGAAACAUUUGAAGAGAUAAUGACAGAAUUUUUCAUACAAAAAGUUUUUAAGCAGUUUUGUUUGUAUAAAAUUAGCUUCAUUGAUGACAUCAUUUGGCUCUGUGUAAAUUUCUGCCUUCGGUCAUUUUUGGAGCAAUAGCUCACCUAUGAAUUGUGUGGAGAAUGAAUUUCAUAUAUGGUGCUAUAUUUAUAACUCCAGAUUCCUUUAUUUAUUCAUUCUGGUCAAUGCAGCCACUCCGUUCAGUGGUAAUAUGUAUAAAAAUUUUCUAUAAACAUUGGUGUUUAGCAGCUUUAAAAUAUCACUUACUAUUAAAGCUGUGUACUCUCUGAUAAAAUUUUACAUAGAGACUCACACAAAAAAGUAGACUUUUAUAUAUUUUGUUUUUGAAACAGUCCAGGAAAUACAAAAUAUGUUGAUAUAAUUAGGAGCAUUUUACUUUUUCAUCUAACUCAUGUGUCAGCAAAGUUUUUCUGUAAAGGGCCAGCGAGUACAUAUUCUGAGCCUUAAGGGCUCUUAUAGUUUUUGUCAUAACUACUCAACUCUGCCACUGUAGCGUGAAAGGAGCCAUAGACAAUACCUAAACGGAUCAGUGUGGCCGUGUUCCAAUAACAUUUUAUUUACAAACUUUAUCAUUUUAACCAUUUUUAAGUUUAGAGUUCAGAGGUAUGAAAUACCUUCAUACUGUUGUGCAAUCGUCACCACCAUCCACCUCCACGGCUCUUUUCAUCUUGUAAAACUGACACUCUAAACCCAAACAACAAUAACACCCCAUUGCACCUUCUCCUCCGUCCCUGGCAACCACAAUUCUGCUUUUUGUCUCUGUGAUCCUGAGUACUCUAAGUAUUUCAUACAAAUGGAAUUAUGUAGUAUUUGUCCUUUUUGUGACUGGCUUAUUUCACAUAGCAUAAUGACCUGAAGGUUCAUCCAUCCUGUAGCAUAUGUCAGAAAUUCCUUCCUCUUCAAGGCUGAAUAAUAUUCCAUUGUAUGUGUAUACCACAUUUUGUUUGUCCAUUCAUCUGUCAAUGGACACAUAGGUCGCCCAUGUUUUAGCUAUUGUGAAUAACAUUGCUAUGAACACGAGUGCACAUAGUGUCUUAGAUGACCAUACAUGGAGAGGGUUGUUAUUGAGGAUAAUGGAUAGAAGUUCAUACUUCAAAUUGUCUUGAGCAGUCUCUAAUUCUCUGGGUUGACUUCAAGGCAUCGUUGUUGGAAUCUCAUGUGUCGGUCAAGGAGCUUGUACUGGCUGUCGUGGCGCUGUUACCAUUUCCUUAAUGUGACCAUGUGCUGACAUUAACAGUGUUAUCUUCAAUCUUAAUAUUCUUUGCAGGAAUCUUUUAAAGCCAUUUGUCCAUCUCAUCAUGGUUUAUUUGUUAAAACUAAACAAUAUUAUCUUUAAGUCCCUUUAAUUGGGUAUACGCAAAUGGUACUUAGUUACCCAAAGGAUAAGCCUCUGAGAUGAUGAUGAGCUUCCAGUCCGACCUCAGGACACCUUGGUUGACAUCUGUUUAAUGUGACUGACUAACAUAUAGACCUAACAGUUUUAGUAAAUAUUUGUAAAGCUUAAUUUCCUUUCAAAUUUUUAAUUAAAGAGAUGUAGAAGGUCUAUUUCCUUCUUCCCAUCCCCCAGUGAAUCAUGACUUAGCACUUGGGAGAUUGACCCUCCACUCUAACCAUGGCUCUAAAGCUUAGAGGACAUCUGAGCCAAUGGUACCCUGUUCUAUUAAAAUACUUUUCUUAUCUGAGAAGUCUAGAACAUUUAACUAUGUUCCCACAAGCUGUGUAAGCGGUAGCUCUCAGUCCUGUUGAGACAUGCACUCUCUGGAGAGUUUGAUCAAUUCUGUGGAACCCAUCAUAAAAAAGGAACAUAAAUUCUCUCUCCCUCUCUCCCUUCUUCCCUCCCUCUCUUCCUCCUUGCUUCCAUCUUUCCUUCUUUCUUUCUUUCCUCCUUUCCUUCCUUUCUUCCUUCCUCUCUCUCCCCCUCCUCCUUUCCUUCCUCUCUUGCUUCUUAGUUCAGUCAAAAAAUCUUUGGAGUCAGGGGCCUGGGUGAAGAAGAUGUGUAUGGCAUCUCUGGAGGCUGCCAGGGACCCACAUAAGGAAAUUAUGCCAAUGUGGGUAGCAUCUCAGAGGCAGGGAGAGGGCCACACAAGGAAUAUUUGCUAAGUGGGGUGGAGGAGGAUUGAGCAAAUAAGGACAUAUAUUGAGGAUAAUGGGAUCUAGGCUUCUAGAUCCUAGAAGAAAGGACUUACAAACAUGGGAAGAGGGAAAGCUAGAAUGAAAUCUGUGGUGUUGGAUUGGAAGCAGAGAUACCAAAAUGAACUCGCGUUUUUAAAAUAUGUAUACAGAUAGAUAGAUAGACACAGAAAUAAAUAUAGAUGUAAAUGUUUGUAUGUGUGUCUCCAUAUACAUACAUGUAUCCUUGGAUGUGUCCACUGAGAAGGCCUGGGAGCCCCAACCCUUCAAUAACAAUGAAGUGCCUAGUGCCCAGAUCUUGAUUUCUAAAUACCAUCCUCCUCUAAUAGGUGUUAGAGCUCAGCAGAGAAAUGGCCAGUUCAAGGCUGGGACAGGGAAAGCACAAAAUGAGUCUGGAACAUCUGUUAUGCCAGAAAGUUAAAAAGUGCUCAAAAAAUGGUGGGGACACAUCAAAAGGCACAGAAGUUAGUUUGAGGGGCUCACACCAGCCAAAUCUGGAACACCACAGCAUCAAAAUAAAUAAUGAUAAUGCUGUGUCAUAAUUCUUUGAAAAAGCCUGAGCCUACACUUACGUAACGAAAUAAAUAAUAAACAAAUGUGGAAAAGAGAAAGCUUCACCCUACAGCAGAAUGUCAACAAUAAAUGUAGAAACAGAUAUUCAAACCGUUAGGGAAAGUUUGCUGACUGAUGAAUGAAUAAAUAAAUGAGACUAUAACAGCAACAGCGAAAAGACAAUCUGGGGGAAGCCACACUCCUUGAGUGUCCACUGACCAAAGAUAGGACAAUUUGAAUAUCAAUAAAGACAAUGUCUGUAAUCGGUUACAACACAUCAAAGAGUUCAUGGAUUUAAAGAAACUUAGAAGAGUAUCAUUGGCUGCUUCUGAAGGAUUCUAGGAAACCACCCCACUGUUUUGAAAGUGGGUAAGUGAGGCGAAAGAACCAAGCCUUCCUCUCGCCUGUCCUGUAUGAUGUAAGCCUCAGGUAAGCAAAGAGUUGCUGAGAGAACUUCCCCUUCUUGGGCGUAUCUUAGGUCAUAAACAAAGAAAGAACUAGAAAAGCAUCCUUCGGCAGCCCCUGAUGAAUUAAUGGAGCCAGACAGUGAACCCUGAUCACUGCUAAUAUCACAAAAAGGGAAACAACCAUACAUUAUGCAUCUCCUGGUGGAAGCACACCACACCCCCCAGGAAGUCAGCUCGCUAGGAGAAAAUAAACCUGCCUUUGACCACGACUCUCCAUCCCACUUCCAAAAAAACCAAUUAUGAGACAAACCAGGAGACACAAACAUCAACACAGAUAUUUUUUGAUAUUAAGGAAUUACUGUUAACUGUUUUUAACUGUUGAUGAUAAUGGUAUUGCUUAUAUUUUUAGAAGCAUCUUUAUCUUUUAGAGAUGUCUAGUGAAAUAUUUAUAGGUGAAAUGAUAUAGAUUCGAUGCAAUCCUUUCAGAAUUUUCUCUGGAAUACUUGAGGUGGAGGAAAAAGUUAAAAUAUGUAUAAAUAAGAUUGGCCGGGAGCUGAUAAUCGUUGAAGAUGGGUGAUUUGCAUACUGAGUGCUUUACCGUUCUUCUUCCAUUUGCUUUGCAUAGGUUUGAAAUUUCUCAUAAUAAAACUUUUUUUUUUCAAAACUAGCAUGCUGGGGCUGGCCUGGUGGCACAGCCUGUUAAGUUCGCACUUUCCGCUUCGGCAGCCUGGAGUUGGCUGGUUUGGAUCCUGGGUGCGGACCUAUGCACUGCUCAUCAAGUCAGGCUGUGGCAGGCAUCUCACACAUAAAGUAGAGGAAGAUGGGCACAGAUGUUGGCUGAGGGUCAGUCUUCCUCAGCACCCACACACACAAAAAGAGGAGGAUGGGUGGUAGAUGUUAGCUCAGGGCUAAUAUUCCUCAAAAAAAAAAACCAAAAAAAACAAAAAAACAAAACUAGCAUGCUGUCUGAAACACAAGGCCUCAUAUGGUAUUCCCAGGGCACCAAGGCUAAGAGGAUGACUGGGGACGGAAGUCCAGCCCUGCCUGGCCUCUCUUGACAAGCCAGUUGCCUUGGAGGGCAGUGGUGUCAGCAGAAAGAAGGAGCAUGUUUUUUUUUUUAAAAAAAAAUUCAGUUAGAGAGGUCAUCUUUUUGCUAUUCCUAGUGGGAAAUCAUCCUUUAAAAAUUUGUAUAAAGGUGACUAUCAGGGGGCCUAAACACAGGUGGCAUUCAAGAGCUAGUUAGCAUCACAGCGGACAACCUCUUCUCUAAUCUGGAGAACCGCCGUGGAGCUGUGAGCGCAGCGCGGGUACCAGCAGCAGAAGCCAGGUGGUCGCUCGAUUGGAAGUCAGCCUCAUCACAGUGGCACACGCAGCAUUCAUUCUCAACGCCCCGAUUCACGCUCCAGCACUGAUGCUCGGCCUCCCACACGUUCCCACGCCGCGGGCUACAGACAGAGGACAAUGCCCGUCCACAGACUUGCUGUGUGGGGAGCCUGACUCCCCGGUUUCCUCCCUGGUGAUUUCCCGACUUGGCCUCUGCAGGAAGCAGAGCUGCUUUUCUCCCAGAGGAGGCCAAAUGUCAGAAUAGAGGAAAAGGCUGCUAGCAACCAGGGGCCCCGAAUGAGAGAGCAGGGGAAAGGCUGGACCCAAGAUCCUGAACAGAUCAUUUUCCCGGAAUGGAGAGAGAAAAAGGAAGGUUUUUCUAAAGCUGAUUCAUUUACUCCAGACACUUCUUGUCCUGAUGCCUCUGCAUUCCUUCCUGGAUCCUGUCCCCCCCCCCCCCCCCCCCCCCCCGUAGAUCCUCUUCAUUGCUAGUUCUGGAAAUCGGUGAGUGAUAGGUUAGCAUGGGGCUCAUCCCAUGGUGUCACCUAGCAACGCAAUGUUCAUAAAUAGCCACAAUCAUCUCUUCUCCAAAAAUGGCUAAAACUUCUUUUAAAGACAUCAGGAAAAAUGCUUAGCUCUUUCCGAGCUGGUGUGAAAUAUUCCCUUGUCUCAGGCCUCCGAUUCCCAGUCUUCCUCUUCAGCGUCUCAGUUUGACCUCCCAGUGUGUUUAUCGUUUAUCCUCUGCCUUUUUUUUGAAUGCACAUUUCCUUCUCCGGGGUCACAUAACAGCUGUUCAUGUAAAAGCCGCCCAGUAGUUCUGUGAACUCCAUUCAGCUCCAAAACAACUCAAAAGCCAAAAACAUUCCUAUUUAAUCCUCAUCCCUUGCACUUUGGAAGAAUUCAAACUAAAAGUCAUAGAAUUCUAAGGCUAAGAAAGAAUUACUUCUAGGUAAGCUAAGACAGUACUAAUCAGAUAAAAGUUUUACACUUUUAUUAAAAGUUGAAAUAUACGAGAACAAAGAGGGUCCCUUUAACUAAACCAAUAUCUAGCACACCUUAAUUAACUCAUAAAUCCAACAUACAUAUUUUGGGCAUCUACUGUAUCUCAAAUACUGUGCUGGGUAAUGAUACAAAGAUGAAUAAGGUUAUGCCAUUGUAGGGUUCACAGUGUGGGGAGAAACGGCAGGAAAUUCUCGUGGCAGAUGGACUAAACAGCAUUCAGGACAAACCACAGUCCUCUAAUUCUAAAGAUGGAGAGUCACAGACAAACAGCGUUCAGAUGAAAACCACGAGGAUCCAGCAAAACGUCAGCAUUUUAUAACAGAACUGAGUCUUAGGUUCUUGGCUUGAGCAAAGGGAUGCAUGCUGGGGCCAGGUACCGCGCCGGGAGGACUGGGAGGGACAGGAGUCCUGUUUGGGCCGUGUUGAGUUUGAGUUGUCCAGUAGAUGUUCAUAUCAAUCAGGAGCAGGCAGGAAACAGAUGUGCACCCAAACCGGAGCACUGAAGAGAGUUGAAUGAAGAGACCGUAAGAAGCGCACAGGCAAGGAGACUAACAAGCAGUGCU
rnacentral:lncRNA from 1 species